rnacentral:snoRNA from 1 species
UGUGCGUCUUUAGGUGGCAGAGAGCAGAGAGGCUGUGUCUACUCUCAGUGCUCUGACCUGUGAACAUCUGAAUGAUUAGUAGCCUCCCAUU